AACGAACGCUGGCGGCGUGGAUAAGACAUGCAAGUCGAGCGCUGAUUACAGUGUAGCAAUACAUUGUGAUUGGAGCGGCGCAAGGGUGCGUAACACGUGGGUAAUUUACCAUAAAGUUGGGGAUAACUCGCUGAAAGGCGAGCUAAUACCGAAUGUGAUAAUCUGGAGGCAUCUCUGGAUUAUUGAAGUUGGGGAUCGUAAGACCUGACGCUUUANGAUAAGCCCGCGGCCUAUCAGCUAGUUGGUGAGGUAACGGCUCACCAAGGCUAAGACGGGUAGCUGGUCUGAGAGGACGACCAGCCACACUGGAACUGAGAUACGGUCCAGACACC
rnacentral:rRNA from 1 species